UGCAUUGGGUUCCACGUUGAGCAUGGAGCCUACUUAAAAAAAAAAAUAUAAACCUACAGUUAUAAAAUUGGUAAGUACUGGAGAUGUAAUGCACAGCGUGGUGAGGUUAAAAAAAAAAAAAAAGUACAAACUCUAGAGUCAGGCCA